AAUUUGAAAUCUGGCUCCUUCGGGGCCCGAGUUGUAAUUUGUAGAGAGUGCUUCGGGGGAGACUGCGGUCUAAGUCCAUUGGAACAUGGCGUCCUAGAGGGUGAGAAUCCCGUAUGUGACCGUGGCUCGAACCCAUGUGAAGCCUCUUCGACGAGUCGAGUUGUUUGGGAAUGCAGCUCAAAAUGGGUGGUAAAUUUCAUCUAAAGCUAAAUACUGGCUGGAGACCGAUAGCGCACAAGUAGAGUGAUCGAAAGAUGAAAAGCACUUUGGAAAGAGAGUUAAAAAGUACGUGAAAUUGUUGAAAGGGAAGCGCUGGCAACCAGACCUGCCCGUAGGUGAUCAGCCGCUGUUCUCAGCGGUGCACUCGCUCUGCGAUCAGGCCAGCAUCGGUUCCGGCGGUCGGAUAAAGGCCUUGGGAAUGUACCUUCCCUUCGGGGGAGUCUUAUAGCCCUCGGUGCAAUGCGGCCAGCCGGGACCGAGGACCGCGCUUCGGCUAGGAUGCUGGCGUAAUGGUUGUC
rnacentral:rRNA from 1 species